rnacentral:rRNA from 1 species
UACGGAGGGUGCGAGCGUUGUCCGGAAUUACUGGGCGUAAAGGGCGCGUAGGCGGUGUGUCAAGUCAGGCGUGAAAGCCCCGGGCUCAACCUGGGAACCGCGCUUGAGACUGGCACGCUCGAGUUCGGGAGAGGAUGGUGGAAUUCCCAGUGUAGAGGUGAAAUUCGUAGAUAUUGGGAAGAACACCGAUGGCGAAGGCAGCCAUCUGGACCGACACUGACGCUGAGGCGCGAAAGCGUGGGGAGCAAACAGG